UUGUGUGUAUUGACUCCAAAGAGUUCAGUUCCUCAAACAAGUGUGUGCGUACUGAUUCCAAAAUUUCAGUUCCUUGAACAUGGACAGGAUGUGCUCUUAUGACUAUUCUACCUGUUGUAGAGUCAACAGUAUGGAUACUCUUAUCAGAUAUCUCGAUGAACGAAUCAACAAGUCAGGUUCCUUCUCUGGGACAGAUUGCAUGGUUGGCUACACCGCUUCCACGAUCGUCCAGUCUCACUGGGCUGGGCUCGCCAUCUUGGAUCCAGAUUCUAUCUUGUCAUUCAAAAAACCAAUCAGAGUUCCAAUGACUGAAAAACUCAACAAAACUUCUUCACCUUCAUGCUCACAGCUGAAUUUCUGGCAGAGGGUAAACUGAGAAGUACAGUGAAAUGAAAAUAAUAAUUUCAUUUAUGUUCUUUACAAUUUCAUUCCAGAAACCAGGAGCUGAUUAAAGGCAUGUUCACGGGAAAAAAGAUUCAAGUGGAAGAGUGAGUGCAGAGGAAGCGCAUACUUGAAAGAUGCUCUACUCUGAGAUGCAUAAUGUGCCCUCUAUAGGAAGUUGCAUACCACUACAUCUAUGGUUUCCUUGUGGUGCAUCCUUCUAGCGGCUUUUGCAGAUUUUCAUCUCAGUGGCCUGUCUGUGACUUUAGCUGCUCUGCUACGAUACCACUUCACGGCUUGUGAUCAUAGACGACAUAUAUUUUGAGGAAUAUUAUCAAGGCGUGAUCAUGAACAACUCAUCAAUGUCGAUGGUAGACAAUUUUUCGGAGUAUGAUUCCCUGGCUCCCGGUGUAUACAUUCCUCCUCUUGUUUAUUAUGAUGGCCUGAUGAUCAGCGUCUCCCUCGUCGCUGGUGUGUGUGUAAGCCUGCCGCUUUUCAUUUGGGCUUUUCUUGUUCUUUACACUCUCCACAAACAAGGAGGCCAAAUUUCAACCUUCAUCCUCCUCAUCAUCAUCAAUGACUUGGCUGAGCUGCUCCUGAGUGCAAUUAUAGCAUCAUAUUUAAUAGACAGCCUUGUAAAGUCCAGUGCUACAAGAUCUUUCAAUUCUUACAUUGAAGCGUAUUUGACAGAUAUCAGGAUUUUUAUUCGUUUAUUUAUUACAUGUAGAAUCUGUGGUCUUUUCCUCCACCAGCUUGUGGCUCUGAAGAGCGUGCUUUCUCUCAAACACCAGCUUCGCUCUGCUCAUGUCUUCUCUCCUCUCUGCUCCACCAUUUCCUGUAUCAUUCUGUGGCUGAUUGUCUUCGGAUUGCAGUUCAUAAAUAUGUGGUUCAAUGUGAUUUUUAGCUUUUUGCCUUGUUGCAUUUUAGUCAUCACAUGCAUACUCACUUGCAAAGCCUCUCCUGCAUCUGACCACAUCAAGCCCAGCUCAGCAGUGCUGAUCGUUUCCACAUUCACACUUAUCACUUUCUGCACAACAGCUGGCCUUGUGCUUAUCUUCAAAAAUACCUAUGAUGGAUUUUACUUUGAUGAACCAGAAUCACAUCUCUCAGUCUAUUUGAUCAGAGUGAUCUCAGACCCCCUGCUGUGUGUACUGGUCUGUAAGGAGCAGCUCAGGGUUCAUAAACAGCAAACUCACACAGACAUGAACACUGAUCAGAGAUCAGUUUGAGGUGAAGACCUGAGUCUAUGAAGAUAUCAGAAAAUACCAGAAAUGUUCUUAUGGUUGUCAUCAUCAGGCAGCUACCUUCUUGAGAAUUGUGGAUAAAAUGGCAGUUUGUAAAUGAAAAGAGAAGUGAAAAAUCUAUGACAUUUCAAACAGCAACACCAGGAAAAAAAAAUCUUUUGUGUGUGUGUGUGUGUGUGUGUGUGAUUGUAACUGUCUACAUUACAACAUCGCAAAUAUUACAGCAGAUAUUUGCACCACUGGAACUUAAGCUCCCUCAGAGCCAAGAUUGAAUAUAAAUUUCCAUCAAAAUACUGCUUUUAAUUUUUUAAAUUUUGUUAUUAUUCUGCACAUACAGUAUUUAUUCUUCCUCAGUGACUGGGAUUAUAUCUACAAUAUUUUUUUUUAGUUAAUCAUAGGACAGGGAGAUGGCUUAAUUUGGGAUUAGGGGACUCUUGAUAUGUUUUUUUUUAUUGUGUCAACAAUGUGUGUACAGUAGAAUUAAUUCCAUGUGCUUUAUGGAAAUUUUCACAUUGCCUUCAUGGAAAUUAUGAUUAUUGUUUUAAUUAACUUCAAUUAACCACAAUUGCCUGGCCAGAUAUUAAUUCUUAUAAUCUUAUUCUGCUUGCUAUUCACAUCGAUUAAUAGCAGUCCUUAGUGCUUUUAGGAACAGCAUUUUCUUUCAUCAUUUGCAAUUCUUCCUCACUUACAGUGACCGAGCGAUUGGCCAACAUUUUACUGAGUUGCUCGGGGUGAUUAUUGAGAAAUAGUCUGAAUUUCUCAAACAAUCAGUGCACACAAUAUUCUUUCAUCGCUUGUGUAUUUCUACUGACACCAAUUAAUUUGAUGUGGAUACCAAAAAAUAAACAUUUUAUUUUA